ACGAGGUGUAUCAACAACAUAAGCAAUUACAGUGGGAAAGGUUGAAGCAAAAGCCUCAGUAAUGAUGGCCCCAGAGGCAGACCAUGUGAAUAUCUCGAUCUGACCAGGAGUAUCAACAAGGACAUAAUCAAGCUGAUCUGCUCGCUUUUCGAUCACUGAAAUUACCUCAUCAAAUUUGGUGGCAAACAAGUUAAGUGACGUCAA
rnacentral:misc_RNA from 1 species